rnacentral:rRNA from 1 species
GACGUAGGGCGCGAGCGUUGUCCGGAUUUAUUGGGCGUAAAGAGCUCGUAGGCGGCUUGUCGCGUCGUUCGUGAAAACCCACAGCUCAACUGUGGGCUUGCGGUCGAUACGGGCAGGCUAGAGUUCGGUAGGGGAGACUGGAAUUCCUGGUGUAGCGGUGAAAUGCGCAGAUAUCAGGAGGAACACCGGUGGCGAAGGCGGGUCUCUGGGCCGAUACUGACGCUGAGGAGCGAAAGCGUGGGGAGCGAACAGG